GUAAGGGUGAUGAUGGGGAGGUGGUAGUGGUAGUAUUGGUAGUAGUAGUGGUGGAGAGGUGGGGUGAUGGUAGAGAUGGUGGUGAUGGCAAUGUUGGUGCUGGCUUCUGGUGACGGUAGUGGUGAUCGUGGUGGUGGUGAUGGUGGUGAUGGCGUCCUUCCUAUCUUACCUACGGCAUUAACCAAGUUACUUCUGGACCAGCACAGUGAACGGUAACUCCAGUGAAUUUAACCUUCACACCGUGCCUCGAGGCGGUGUCUCGUGACCUGGCAGCGGGGGGCAGCGGGGGGCGGCGUGCCAGCCUUCCCAGCCGAGCAGCGGUGUUAUUGCUUCCCCAGGCAUGCCGGGGCUCGCGGAGACGUUUAGCCUCCCUCAGCCUGGUGGGGUGUAGCCAUGGUUACCUUUGACGGGGCGGAUGAUUACUGAGCCUCCUCAAGACUGUGCCUCGAUCAUCAACACCUUACUGAUGCAGCGACGUGAUCCAAGGGCUGGCCAGGACCAGUGUGCGGCGAGAGGUGGGCAAGUGGCAAUACCCAACAGUACAGUUCCAUGGCGACCGAAGGGGCAGCAUGUCGGGUCUGGCAGCGUAUCAAGUAGAUGGAAAAAAUACGGAGCCUGAGACGAGUGUGGCAGCACGGUGGGACACAUGGGAGAAAGGGAGAGAAAGAAAGAAAGUAAGAAAGAGAGAAAAAAGUGGGAGAGAAAGAACGUCACGCUUCCCUCCCCGUGCCUGCCUCGCCUCGCCUUCCCCUGUGACUCUUUCCUCAGGCUAAUCCAUCUCCACACGUCACUGCCAGCCGUGUAUUGACAAACGUGGGUGAUGUACUGGCCGCCGUGACGCAGACUGGGCCGCGGUGCAGACUGAGGGGCCUGGUAAUGCUUAUAGCGAGGGACGCGUGUUCGGUCCCCGCAUGAAGAUGAUUCCAAGGCGAGACGAGAGCAAGGCGCUGGCAAGAUGGAAGAGGCGGUAGGCGGCGUGUUGAAGGGUGGCAUGGAGACUGCUGGGAGUGAAUCUAUCUGACCAAGCCGUACGGGAAGGUCGAGAAAGGCUGAGCCGCCGCUGAUUAUUAAACGACCUUUAUUACCAACACCAGCAUUACCAACAACAGUACCACAACGGGCCAUCAUCGCUGAACGUGUGAGGUUGGUUGAGAAGCGGAUCACCUUAUGGGGAGGCGGUGGCUGAGUCGACAGCGUGACGGCGCCGCUUUCAGGACGACGCGAGUUCAAUCCCCGCCCGGUGCCACCAAGCUGGGACUUUUCAGCCGCCGCCGAGUGGCUUAAAACUACCCACAUGCUGUCCAGAAGACCACCUAUCAACCCGGACUCUAGAUUCUAGGAUUAAAGAUGAGCUCCGGGAGGGCAGAAUGAGCCAAUGCAAGAUGGCGCCACUAUAAAGACUGGCCUACGCCACAACGGGGUGGGCCAUACCAUCAGGCCCCUCCAAAAACUAGCCUACCGGUGCCACAGGCGAAGAUGUAAAAAAGAAUACCUCAAUGCGUUCAGAGUCUUGCAUAAUCAAAUAAUCUUCAAACUGGACGAUCGUUUUCUGAGAGAUCAUUCCGUAGAGACAAGUCAUUAUCUAUCAUUUUUGGAGUAAAGGAAGCAGCUCAAGGGUAGAAACAAAUGAGAACAAAAAAGCCCGCCAAUCACUGCUAAUCACGAUAUUCUGAAAUUUUGUGGCAAUUUCAAUGAGCAAGUAACUCUACGGGGGUCACCAAUUACUAUUCACUUGCACGGCGUCUUUUUUUUCUUUUUUUUUUACAGCACAGGAAACAACUUAAGGGAAACAAAAAGAAAGUGUAGAAAAAAAAUCGAUACUCCUUGCUCCGAAAUAUAAAAAGUAAUGGAAUCAAGUCAUCACCAGCGGUAAAGGGAGGAGCUAUGUGGCAGGUGUGUCGGCGCUAUAAGCACCCGCGCUAGUGCAGUUCGGCGAAGCAAGGAGGGAGUUGGCGAGGCGUCGACCCGCUAAGACCUCCAUGAAUUUUUAAUGUAAGGUGUCGAGGAUGGGAGACGGAUGGAGGCUCAGUAUCCCUUGGAACGAGUUUAGAAGCUUUCUUGAGAGGUCUGGCAAGCUCCUGGACUGAGAUUCUCCUUUAAGUAUUUGCAGCUUGUUCUUUCAAUCAUAGAAAUCAGAAAAUAUUACCAAAAGAAAAAUUACAAGCAAACAUACAUAUAGAGAGAUAGGUAGAUAGACAGAUACAGAUAGAUAGAUAGAUAGAUAGAUACACUCAUGAAAAUUGCACACGAAUAUUGAUAGAUAGAUAGAUAGGUGGGUAGAUAGAAAGUUAAUUGACCACAGCGUACAGAUAUAACAAGAGAAACAUAUACCUUUUGUUUUUAUUGAAAUUCGAAUUACAUAUUUUUUUGCAGUCUAAAGUUAAUGCAAUUCCCCGUACUAAACAUUUUAUUUUCAACCUUAAGUACAUUGGCGACCUCACUCUCUCACAGAUAAAUAAACAAAACAUCAUAAAUUACGUUACGAGUCAUGAGUCGGCGCAUUAGUGUUCAUCGUAAGAUCUAUAAUGCAAACGCCAUUGGUCAUCGUCGUUGUUAUAUAUUUCUUGCCACUGUGCUUGGAGGUAUUGAUGUUAUGUGUUACAAAGCAUACGUUAUUACAUCUUGCCCGCCUGUACCCCUAAUAACUGUUUUUAAGCACUUUUUUAUAUACUUUGCCCAUAGGUUUCAGGUCAGGUCAUAUCCACGGUAUCACAACCAUAUAUAUACAAAACGAUGUAAGUGUUGCAAUGAUGAAAAACAGCCCUGGUAAUAACAUUGUCAAAACGUGAGGAAUAUAGAUGAGAAAAGGUCAUGCGGAUAAUAGCGUAAAAACAUGUGCGGUAUAUAGCAGAAUCCGAACAAAGGUUUAGGUGCAAAAUAUAAUAGACCCCGAAAUAGUAUCAUAACACUCACAUACAGGGAUGCCACGAUAUCGUACUCACCAAAACUAGAUUUCCCCAUUUCUAAAGCAUAACGACUGCACAAAACCCUCUAUAAUUAACACUUUUGGCAAUGAAUAUAAAUCCCUAUCGCUAGUUUUGUGGGUGAGACGGUUUAUAGCCUGAAAUCGCGGAAAAUGAGAAGCUGAAAACGACAAUCUGGCAACGUUCCUCACAUAUCCCCCCCACUACACGGCUUCACAGGAUCCCAUUUUAGUAACACUGCACCAAUACUGUAAACCGAUCCUGUUAACACUCGCAUCUGACCCCAAUACCCUGCCACAGAUGAUUCAUUAUUAGUAACACUGUAUCGCCACUGUGACCCGAACCUCCUGAAAAUGUACUUAAUAAUGUUGUUUUAACUUCGUUCAAACUUAUUACAGUAAUCAUGAAAUAUAUUAUGAAGCUGAGUAAGUACUGAUACGUGGUUUAGUGCUUUUUCAGUGGAUUUUGUCGCUGCUUGAGGCGGUAAUAUGGUAUUGGAUGCUUUGUGUGACGAUGGGACGUGCUCGUAUCGCUAUUCCUACCGUACUGAUGCGCAUACUUGAGAAAGGAGACUUAGCAGAGUAAUGAUUAGCGGGCUUUUUUGCUCCUUUUUUUUCACCUUGAGUUGCAUCAGUUCAGUUCAGUAGUAGGCGUGGGAUAAGCGUUGGUAUCGGCUCCCACUAGGCUGUUUCUUUAGUUGUGCUGCAGUUCCUGUGUUUUUCUGUCUUGUUUUCCGGAUAGUUUAAUAUAUUCUUUUCUUUCUUGUAUAUCUUUGAUUCUGCUAUUAUUUUUUCUGAGUUGUGAGAAGCUGAUUGUAAGUUAAAUGUGUUUCUUAUAUCUUCAUAACCUGUACUUAACCUUAACUGUAAAAAAAUAAAAAUGAACACAUAUGAGCAAAAAUGGCCCUAACUUGACCUUACGUGGGAAGUUCGGGGGGGGGGCAAGCCAACAGCGCGGUAUAAGAGGCGGUGUUGUUAAGACUCCCCGGGCAGGGUACCGAAGGGGAGGCGGAGGGGGAGCAGGGUGACACAAUAUUAUACCGUAUGAGGAGUUAUGAAGAUAAUAUGGGCUGCUUUAUGGCUUCUAUGAUGGCGUAAGGAAGUAAAUAAAAUAUCA